ensembl:lncRNA
GGGUUAGCUAACAUGCUAAGUUGUUGCAAAGUAACUAAAAAGUAUUAAGUUGUUGAAAAGUUGCUAAUUAGCUUAAAUGCUAAAGUUGUCCCUCGAGAUUCAAUGUCCUAACAAUGCUAGGCAUCGUCCACAAAGUGGCAUGGUAGGAUGCUUAGCUCCCUCCUAUCCUUUCUUUGGAUUGGUGGAUACAUGCAAUUAUGUAAUAGUUGAUUGAAUAUUCAUUGAGGGUUGUUGACGUCACCGCCAUUAUUCAAUGGAUAAAUGCUAUGCUAUAAGCCUCAUGCCAGGAAUGUGCAUAGCCAUCUCGGAUAUAAAGUGUUUUUUUCUUAAAGUUGCGGGGAUGUCACGUGUCCUACUUAUAUCCGUACACUCAUAACCUAAGCAUUACGAAACGUAUAUUCAAUCAAAUAAACCUCACGUAGUAAAUAAGCCAUUCAAUUUUUUGUUGACCAAAUUCGACACACAAUGACUGACCUGAAUUUAAAAACUCCUUGCUCGGUGGGCGAUUAAACGCCACCUGCUGGAGGGAGAAAGAUUUCCCGCCGUGUUAGGCCUCUACCUCUUCCUCUCUGUCUUCUCUGAUUGAUCGAAACAGGGCUUUUGAUUGGGGAAGCAGUGAACCUUCACUGUGGGGACAAUGCCGUUGAUGCAUUUCCUAAUGAAGCCUGUGAUGGAGAGAGAUCCUGGAUGAAAACCUGCUCCAGAGAGCUCAGAACCACAGACGGGAAAAGGUUAACCUUCCAACAGGACAACGACCCUAAGCACACAGCCAAGACAAUGCAGGAGUGGCUUUGGGACAAGUCUCUGAAUGUCCUUGAGUGGCCCAGCCAGAGCUCGGGCUUGAACCUGAUCGAACAUCUCUGGAGAGACCUGAAAAUAGCUGCAGCGACAUUCCCCAUCCAACCUGACAGAGCUUGAGAGAAACUCCCCAAAUACAGGUGUGCCAAGUUUGUAGCAUCAUACCCAAGAAGACUUGAGGCUGUAAUCGCUGCCAAAGGUUCUUCAAAGUACUGAGUAAAGGGUUUGAAAACUUAUGUGAUUUCCUUUUUUUCUUUUUUCUUUUUUAAAUGUGC